rnacentral:rRNA from 1 species
GACGAGCGCUGGCGGCGUGCCUAAUACAUGCAAGUCGAACGCUGAAGGAGGAGCUUGCUUCUCUGGAUGAGUUGCGAACGGGUGAGUAACGCGUAGGUAACCUGCCUGGUAGCGGGGGAUAACUAUUGGAAACGAUAGCUAAUACCGCAUAACAGUAGAUAUCGCAUGAUAUCUACUUGAAAGGUGCAAUUGCAUCACUACCAGAUGGACCUGCGUUGUAUUAGCUAGUUGGUGAGGUAACGGCUCACCAAGGCGACGAUACAUAGCCGACCUGAGAGGGUGAUCGGCCACACUGGGACUGAGACACGGCCCAGACUCCUACGGGAGGCAGCAGUAGGGAAUCUUCGGCAAUGGACGGAAGUCUGACCGAGCAGCGCCGCGUGAGUGAAGAAGGUUUUCGGAUCGUAAAGCUCUGUUGUAAGAGAAGAACGAGUGUGAGAGUGGAAAGUUCACACUGUGACGGUAUCUGACCAGAAAGGGACGGCUAACUACGUG